CUGCUGACUUCGUUUGCUUGCGUAGGUAUCGUGUAUACCCUUUUACACAGCAGGCUGGUACGGCAAACGGUACCCCGUUCAGGUCAGCCAUCAUUGCGAUCGUUCCAAACUUGUGCGAAACGCUUGGGAUUCCAAUCGGGGGAUCGAGAUGGCUGGGGAAUCUAGCGAGGAGGCCUGUUAGCUGCGACCUAUCUAACCAGGGAGGUCAUCGAAAAGGUGGCUUGACCAGGUCUAGGCAGACUUGUGGAGCAUUGGUGUCUCGAGUUGGAGAUCUGCAGCACAAGACCGGGCGUUAUAGCGCAACAUUGUGUUCACGGCACGAGUCGACCGACGGCUCUAGUCCGUUUUUGGUCAAAACGGUAGGCCCUGGGGACUGCCACCGGGCUGAACGUGUUAAAACCAAAGUUGGUAUAAUGUAUCGGUGGGCUUAUCCCAAACGAUUUUCCACUUAAAAGGUAGAAAAAGUAUAGCAAUGGCUUGCCACAUGCUGUGACGGAUUAACACGAGUAUUUGGCACCUUGGCAUUACAAUUGUUAGCACGAAAACAACGAAAAGUAAAUAAAUAAUAGGUUGUCACCGAGUGACAGCGAGAACCGAGCUAGAUAGAACGUGGUGUGAGCAGAAAGCGCAGGUAAUUUAAAUCCCCACCUGUAGAGGGUAUCCACGAAAAUAUCCACGAACAAGGCUGUUGACCCAACACCCGAAAGCCCGAAACUUGUGCCAUCGCAAAACAGGGAAUAUGCUGGAGCGAGCAAAUUUUAAAAGGCUGCAAUUUUUGGAACAGAUUACAAAAGCAAAUAAAAUUGUACCGUGCCGUGCUCAGCACAGUACAAUAUGUACCGAAACGCUGACGAACAUGCGGAACAAUAUCCUGAAGCUACAGCAGCCAACAAGAAAAAUACCUUCAUAGAUGACUAAUUUGACAGCUGCGAUGCGUUCAGUGAGGCACAGGAAAGGUCAAUGCACGUAAAGCUCAUCCACUCGGAAGCAGGGUUUAAAAUCUGCAAUUGGCUUAGCAACGAGGAUGCUGUGCUAGAAAAAUUGUCAGAGGGACCGCGCGAGAAACAGCGCGUCAUUGACUUCGGGCAGGAGGAAAAACAUCCCCGCGUACUCGGGUGGAUCUGGGACCCUGUAACCGACAACUUCAGAUUCUUCAUGAAGCGGCACGACGAGCUAAAACCCUUUGCCAUAGGAGAAAAACGACUAACCAAACGCAUGGUGUUGCACAUUAUCAUGAGCCUUUUCGACCCGUUUGGCUUGCUAGCUCACCCGCUAGCUUGCUAGACACCCGAGGGGUGAUUCAAAGUUCCAAAUCGACCACGUUCUGAUUGACUGAAGGCACUUCUCGUAUAUUAUCGACGCUAAAACGUGUAAAGGCGCAAGCGUCGACUCGGACCAAUUACUGGUCAUAGUAAAGCUGCGCCAGAAACUCUCCGUGGUUAACAAUCAACAGAGUCAGCUCACCCCAAGGCUCAAACUGGACCGGCUGAAGUGUGCUGAUGUGGAGGAGGGGUACGUGACAGCGCUCGGGGAAGCGCUACCGGCCGACAACAACAUUGCCGCGAUGCCCCUCGCAGACCACUGACGUAUGGUGGAACAAACCAUCAACACUGCAGCCGAACACAAUAUCGGCCGCUUACCACGUAGGGAGAAAAAGCAAUGGUUUGACGAAGAAUGCAGACGAGCACUAUCUGAGAAGAAUGCAGCGCGCGCCCGCAUGCUACAGCAUGAAACCCGUCAGAACGUGGAGGUCUGGAUCUGGCUGGACCAGGUGAAGCGAGACCUGACGGAGAUCGGGUGUCUGCAUGGAUGGGAGGCUGCAGCCAGGGAUCGAGCAUCCUGGAGAAUAAUUGUUGACCGGGCCAUGUCACAUCGACGUGCUCUAUCGUGACAACACAAACUUUCCUAGCUACAUGUUUUCUCGAAUGCGAGUGAACAGGCAUACGAAUGUGCAGCCUACCUCAGAUUUGACACGGAAAAUACACUCCCUAGUGAUGGUGCGCAGUAAGGUAGCACCUUUGAAGCACCAGUCGACCUUGACUAGAACUGGAGGCGGAACUGUUGGGAGCAAGGCUGGCACGAACUGUUCGCGAAAGCCACGAUAUCCAGGUAUCGGAAAAGUUUCUCCAUAUCGACUCUGAAGUGGUGCUGAGCUGGAUUCGGUGUCCAACACGCGAAUUUAAGCAGUUCGUAGCUUGUCGCGUGAGCGAAACAAUAUCGUUGACUGAGCCAGAGAACUACAUGCCCGUCAUGCGUUCAAGCCCCAAAUGGAUCGUGCCGCCAUACGUAGGACUGCUAUGAAGGGUAAUUCAUAAGUCACUGAAAAGCCAAGCCCACAAGUGGUACAAGCAAACCUUGACCGACAACGGUUGUUGAGUCAAAAGAAGAGCCAGAGAACUGGAGGCAUGUACCUACGAAAGAAAACCCAGCCGACUGUCUUACCAAGCGCUGCCGUUACACCACCAACGAAACCCAAGGUAGAUGGCUUAAUGGGCCGAGGUUUCUCUACCUACCCAAAGAAGACUAGGCAGCACAGAGCGCUGCAGUAAUUACCCGUGAGGAGCGACGGGAAUACCAUCUGACACAUCACAACGUGUCAUGCGAUGAACCGGAAAUUGAUGUUACCCGUUUCUACAGGUGGAAAAGAAUUUUGCGAGUAACUGCUUUGUGCACCAAAUCAGUACUAAUUGCCAACGAAAGGCCAAAGGUUUUCCUAUCAUCUCCGAAAAUGCGACUGAGUCACAGGCAUGCUGCUUAAAAGGACAUCUGCAGUCUGAUAAACAGCCAAUAAGCACGGAGGAAUACCUAAAGACCGAGUAAACACUUUGGCGCAUGGCUCAAAGAGACCUUCGCCUUCGACAAGAAGAUGAGGGACGUAAACAAAAAAGGCGAAGUGGAUCGCUCAAGUCCAUUAUAAGCAGCAACACCUAUAUUAGAUGAAUAAGGUAUUCAGGAAAGUGGAUGGUAGGACCGCCAAGGCGAAUUUCGCACCGUACGACACGCAAUUUUCCAUAAUUCUCCCAAAUCAGCAUUUAAUAAUAACCUUAUUGAUCCACGAUUACCACUCGAGAUAUGGUCAUGCGAAUCGCGAGACGGUGAUAAACGAGAUCAGACAAAGGUCCCACAUUCCUCAUCUGCGAGCAGCUGUUGAUAGGUCCGCGAGAAAUUGCCAGUGCUACAAAAUAAAGAAGAGUCAGUCUAAGAAUCCACGCAUGGCGCCGCUUCCGGCUGCAAAACUUACCGUAUACGUCCGAGCGUUCAGUAACUCAGGCAUCGACUACUUGGGACCGUUAGACAUCGUUAGCGCAAACAAAAUAGGUAUGUUGCCGUCUUCACCUGCCUCGUGACCCGUGCUGUACAUAGCCUCAUCACCACGGCGUGCAUUAUGGCUAUAACACGGUUUAUUGGCAGGAGAGGGCCACCCACAGGGAUGAAGAGGCGCCAGCAACGAGCUAAAAAUACAGUUAGCAAACACUCACCAUAGCUGCGCGUACACUUUCACCAACGCUAACACCAGGUGAAACUUUAACCCACCGUCCGUACCACACAAGGGCGGCGUUUGGGAGCGCAUAGUGCGCAGUGUCAAGGAAGGCAUGAGUGCACUGGAUGACGGACGCAGAGUAAACGAUGAAACUCUCCUAACAACUCUAGCCGAAGUCGAAUUUCUGAUAAAUACGCGACCACUCGUGUAUCACCCGCAAGUAUCUGAUUCAGAAGCACUUUCUCCUAGGCCAUUCGUCUGGUCUGAAGCAGCACAAUCGAUGGUAUCCGGAUCUUACUGACGCGUUAAAGACAGCAUGUGGGUACGCUGGGUGAUGGAAUAUUGUCCAAAUCUCAGCCGUCGGACGAAAUGGCGAGAGGAAAAUCCAUCAUUGCGUGUCGGGGACUUCGUCUUCAUCGCAGAAGGACACCGGAAAGACUGGGCACGCGCUGAAGUAAAAUAAGUGCUCACCGGUAGUGACGGCAGAGUAAGGCAUGCGAUUGUGCGUACAGCGCAGAGCAAGCGCGUGAAACGGCCAGUACAGAAGUUAGCUAAGUUGCCAGUAGAAGUUGAAAGCAGUAGUUGAAUUAAGAAAGUAUAUAGGAAAGUUUUCGAUGCAAUCCGAAGUGAAUCCGAAUCCACGUGGCGGGGGAUAUUAGCACGAAAACAAUGAAAAGUAAAUAAAUAAUAGGCUGUCACCGGGUGACAGCGAGAACCAAGCUAGAUAGAACGUGGUGUGAGCAGACAGCACAAGUAAUUAAAAGCCCCACCUGCAGAGGGUAGCAUCUUUUGAAGAUAUCCACGAACAGGGCUGUUGACACAACACCCGAAAGCCCGAGACUUGCGCCAUCGAGAAACAGGGAAUAUGCUGGUCAUGGUCAGUAGCAUUCGACAGCGGGAAUAGUGCGACCAAUUUGUUUUUGUGCAACGACCAAAUUUUAAAGGACUGCAAUUUUUGAGAAAAAGUACAAAGUCAAAUAAAGUUCAUCCUGGAUCAAAAAUAAUUUUGCACGAUUUUCUUCUAGCCGCUAACACCUUUUGUGUACAAUGUGAACAAGAAUGUGACGGUUCAUGGGGCAGGGUAUAUGCUCACCUUAAACUGUGGGAACCUUGGGAGAAAAGAAGCGUUCCGGAAGAAGAACUGUCAGAGAGAACACACGGGAAGCCAACGAGCAAGGCAGCAAUUCACGAGGUAGAAAUAAACACAGUGAACUACGAUAAAAAUAUUGUCCAAUUAAUUACAAAGGCCCUAAGCGGUCACACGAAUUGCCAACGCCAAAUAAAGAUUCGGCAAUGAUGAUGCAAAUGUUGCAGAUGACGCAACAGCUGAUGCAGCAACAGCAGCAACAGAUGUAGCAACCGCAACAACAGAUACAGCAGCAGCAGCAAAUCUUGUCACAAAUGCUGCGACAACCACAGAAUGCAGUACAACCGAGCGUUAUGCAUGGAUGUGUCUACACAUUUUACAAAGAAAAACAUAAACCAACAGCAAUAAUGACUAUUAUUUAUAGAUUCAGAAGUAAUUAUAUUGUCAAAUAACAACUGUGAAAUCCAUUCCAGUUGUGUCCAAAACAGUUCAAAGCAUGUUUACGCUUUUUUAUUGCAUAUUGGUACUGACCCACACACACCUGUUUUGCAGCAACUAUGAAAUUACAUUCUCUACAUUCAUUUUGUUUUGUUUAUAAAAUCAGACGCAUCACGACGUGCGUCGAAAUAGAAAUUUUUCUACUUUGACCCUGCGUCGUUAACGCAUGCGUCUUUCAAAUCCCAUACAUUUUGGCAAAAUCGCAACGCUUUGCGUCGGAACAAGUACCGCUCUCUAACAAUCCCGAGCUGAUCAUGGACGUGUUGUCGAGCAGUAUCACCGAGUUCCGAUACGAAGCGGAGUCCGAUGUUACUGUUGCUACAUGGUAUGCUCGGUAUGUGGAUCUGUUCGCCCAGGAUGCCCUCCGUCUAGAUGAUGCAGCGAAAGUGCGCUUGCUGGUACGCUAGCUAAGCAGCGCGGAGCACGCGCGCUACGCCAGUUUCAUUCUGCCGAGUGUUCCUUGCGACAUACCAUUGGCGACGAAACGGUGAGGAAGCUGACCGUUCUAUUUGGGAGAGCGGAAACUCUUGUAAGAAAGCGGUAUAAGUGCUUGCAGCUGAUGAAAUCGCGCAUCGAGGAUUUAUUAUCAUUUGUUUGCCGUGUGUCUGGGACACCGCGAGCGUUGAGCAGGGAAAAGAUGUAAGUUUCCAGGCAUUAAAUGGUAUUAACGAAUUUCUGCUCAAUUUUAGAGACGUUGCGAAGGCCUCGGAGUCCAUUCGUGUAUUGAAGCAUUUCUGGUCAGCAACAGAAAAACCACAGGAGCAGUUAACGAUCCCUCCGCUGUUAUUAAAGCAAAAGAUGCAAAACCAAGGACGGAAAGCUUUGAUGGUUUCGGAAGCGGUGAAUUUGGAUACACAUUUUCAGCGCAGUGAAAUCGUUUAUGCCAAAAUAUUCACACGGUACUCGUGGAAAUGGGUCUUGGCGCGAGUAACAAAAGUACUGGGCAGCUUAGUUUUCGAGGUUGAGAUGGACGAUCAUCGGGUUCAUCGUCGUCAUUUGAACCAGCUGCGGAAGCGUAAUUCCCUGAACGUACUAGGGUUGAGUGAUUCUGCAAGGCAAGUCCUUUAAAAUCAACUGUGAUGCGGCUUUUUCGUUACUUUCUUCUACAUUCGCUCGGAAAUGAUGUUUCCUAUCGUUUUAGUUGGCCAUGUUCCCAUUUUAAACUUAAAUAAUAUCUUUUUUAUAUAAAA